ACCCACUACCACUCAUUAUGUUUCCUCACCCACCCACACCACCUUCUACUUUCCUACCUACCUCAUAAUUUAGCCAACCUCUCUCCUCCUCAUUUGGCUAUAAAAGGAGGCUAAGGAAGAAGGAUGAAAUACACCAAAACCAACUCUCUCUCAAGUCUCAUCCGAGAGCAAUCCAAGAGUUGGAAGAAAUAGAGAGUGAGAGAAAGAAGCUUCUGUGAAGCUUUAGAAAAUAGAGAGGGAGAAAGAUAGUUCAAAUAGAAGGGUGUUUUAUUUGGGUUCCAUCACAUAGUUAUUGUGGUGAAGUAAUUUGAGUUUGUACUCAAAUUAAG
rnacentral:lncRNA from 1 species